rnacentral:rRNA from 2 species
UUGACCUCAAAUCAGGUAGGACUACCCGCUGAACUUAAGCAUAUCAAUAAGCGGAGGAAAAGAAACUAACAAGGAUUCCCCUAGUAACUGCGAGUGAAGCGGGAAAAGCUCAAAUUUGAAAUCUGGCGGUUUUUGACCGUCCGAGUUGUAAUCUAGAGAAGUGUUACCUGUGCUGGACCGUGUAAAAGUCUCCUGGAAUGGAGCAUCAYAGAGGGUGAGAAUCCCGUCUUUGACAUGGACRACCAGUGCGUCGUGGUGCGCUCUCAAAGAGUCGAGUUGUUUGGGAAUGCAGCUCAAAAUGGGUGGUAAAUGCCAUCUAAAGCUAAAUAUUGGCGAGAGACCGAUAGCGAACAAGUACCGUGAGGGAAAGAUGAAAAGCACUUUGGAAAGAGAGUUAAACAGUACGUGAAAUUGCUGAAAGGGAAACGCUUGAAGUCAGUCACGUCGGCUAGAAAUCAGCCUUGCUUCUGCUCGGUGUACUUUCUGGUUGACGGGUCAGCAUCAAUUUCGACCGCUGGACAAAGUCUUUGGGAAUGUGGCAUCCUCGGAUGUGUUAUAGCCCAUCGUCGCAUGCAGUGGUUGGGAUUGAGGAACUCAGCACGCCGCAAGGCCGGGUUUCGACCACGUUCGUGCUUAGGAUGCUGGCAUAAUGGCUUUAAUCGACCCGUC